CCAUACGCCAACACGUCAGGUCAAGGUGCAGNNNNNGAGAUGGGAAGAGAUGGGCUACACUUUCUACCAUAGAAAAAACGAAAGACUACCUAUGAAAUCUAGUCAGAAGGAGGAUUUAGUAGUAAAAAGAAAACAGAGUGUUCUUUUUAAUCCGGCACUGGGGUGUGUACACACCGCCCGUCACCCUCUUCAAGGCCCAAUCAAAGUACAUAACCAAACUUUGCCACAUAGAAGAGGCAAGUCGUAACAUGGUAAGUAUACCGGAAGGUGUGCUUGGAAA
rnacentral:rRNA from 1 species